rnacentral:lncRNA from 1 species
CAUCUUCUUGACCAGAUGUUUGUGGAUAAUAAUAGAUAAAAAUAGGAUGAAGGUCAAAUUUAAAAUCUCCGUGGUGGAAAUUAAGUUGUUUCAUAGUAACUUGCAUAGUGACUUUGCAUGAUUCAUACGUGAAUAGUAAAUUUGCAUAGUAACUUUGCAUAGUAAUUUGCAUAGUACUUUUAUAUACGUACUAACUAAUUCUGCAUAGUACCCUACGCUAAUUAAGCCUCUUCCACCUAUACCCAAAAAAUUCCCAGAAAAUUUUCAAAAAAUUCUUAUAAAUUCACCUUUCUUCCUCUUACUCUCAGUUUUUCUGAAAAACUAAAAUUAGGGGUCAAAGCUUUUCCCCUAUAUUUAAGUCACUAU